rnacentral:rRNA from 1 species
GAUGAACGCUGGCGGCGUGCCUAAUACAUGCAAGUCGAGCGAACAGACGAGGAGCUUGCUCCUCUGUCGUUAGCGGCGGACGGGUGAGUAACACGUGGAUAAUCUACCUAUCAGACUGGGAUAACUUCGGGAAACCGGCGCUAGUACCGGAUAAUCUAUUGAACCGUAUGGUUCAAUAGUGAAAGACGGUUUUGCUGUCACUUAUAGAUGGAUACGCGCCGCAUUAGCUAGUUGGUAAGGUAACGGCUUAUCAAGGCAACUAUGCGUAGCCGACCUGAUAGGGUGAUCGGCCACACUGGAACUGAGACACGGUCCAUACUCCUACGGGAGGCAGCAGUAGGGAAUCUUCCGCAAUGGGCGAAAGCCUUACGGAGCAACGCCGCGUGAGUUAUGAAGGUCUUCGGAUCGUAAAACUCUGUUAUUAGGGAAGAACAAAUGUGUAAGUAACUAUGCACGUCUUGACGGUACCUAAUCAGAAAGCCACGGCUAACUACGUG